UUUCAAUGACAAGAACAAGGGUUCUCAUGGCCAAUAUGUGUCUAUUAAUGGGAUUUUCAAUGUCUUGCUUACCACGUUAAUCCUACUUCUGAUUGGAUUUGCAGCUUCAAGAUAUCAAACUCUACACCUUCUAUAUGGAGCUAGAUUUGCAAAAGCCAUAUCCAACUCGAGGAAGUGACUUAUUGACAUGGGAGAGAACUUAUUGGUAACCAAGGACUUUGUGAAGAUAGCAAAUUUUGGCCUUGCUCGUGAAGUUCAUUCGAAGCCACCAUUCACAGAAUAGGUUUCAACACGCUGUUUACAAAUCUCAAGUACUCCAGAGUUGAAAUUGAUGAAAUGCAGUUCGAGUGGGCUGA